GUGGGAUUGUCUUCGAUCAUCUUUUUCAACACUUUCUUCUUCUUCUCCUGCCAGAUCUCCACUUGAUGCCUCCCUGAAAGACAUCCACCAGGUGAUCCAUGGCCUCCACGGCCAGAUCUCAGCGAGACCCGCAAGCUCCGACCUCAUCUCCAAUUUUUCAGGCUCCUCCUCCUCCGGCAACAGCAGUCGGCAUGGAGCGGUUCGACUUGCUGGUUCAGCAGGUCAGAGGCCUCACUGAAGCAGCAGCCGU
rnacentral:lncRNA from 1 species